UCAGUUGUAUCAAGAGUAUUUAAGUGGUUGAAAGGGGAUUGUUUCAGUGAAGCACAGUUAGGGGUAUCCAACACUCUCCAACAAAUGGUACUUUCAAGGAGGGACCAUGUGUACCAGAUUGAGAUGGCAGGUUGAACAUCAAAGAGUUUGACAAUGAAUGUAAGAUAUCAAUUUUCUCAUACAUUUAUCUUUCUAAUAACUCUUAUUUUUAUUGAUAAUAAACUUUAAUUUUGCAGUUUAUGGAUUCCGUGACGGCAAAGAGUAGCUCAUUGAGCCCUGAAGUUGUUACCCAGAUACCACAGUAUGCUUUCUCUCCUCUUUCUCCUCCUACCAAUUUGAGCGGGUUAUGAAUUGUGCAGAUCUGAUUAGUCAAGCACAUUCUGUGAUUUGAAAUGCAGGUUUCUUUUUUCUAUUUUUUUUUGUUUGGAUGCUGGUGGUGUCCGGGUUAAAUUGCAAUUAUUCGUUCUUAGUGAAAUUCUUAAGUCAUGAAUCUAACUUUUCCCCUUUCCUCCUAGGUUUGUUUUCUGGUGUUCUUUUGGUACUCUUCUGCAUAAGUGUAGCCUCCUCUAUGUUUCUGUUGUCUGAUUUUCUUCCGACUUUGGUCUGUCAUCUGCUCUGCCCUGCAUGGCUUAUCUGUUCCUUUUUCCUUUGGGGGUUGGUUUUUUUAGAUUUCUCUUCGGAAUUGGUUCUCUUGGUUGAUAAUUUCGUUAGUGGAGAUCGAAGAGAAUGUGAUAAUUUGGCCUAAGACUGGAAUGUAAGUGCCUUCAACUUAAGGCGUUUCCAUCUUAGCUUACUCUACUUGCUUUGAGAUCUGCCAUUUUGGGGC
rnacentral:lncRNA from 1 species